UACCCUGGAAAUGGGCAAGAGACACCUUGUUGGUGUUGGUGUUCUUAUAUCAGUCAGGAGCAAACAGAUGGCAGUCUCUUGUUCAUCCUAGCUUAAUGACUGGCUUCGUGGCUAAAGCUGCUUUAUGCCUAGGACUCAAAA